GGACCACCCACACCACGCAGAGUCAUCUUCACAGCCCCAUUGUUACAUCGUACAGGCUACAGUUUAUUUCUCUCUCUACAAUCUUGCACAUCUCACUCUAGUGGCCUCUGAUUCUUCCAUGGACGCAGCAGCAACGGCGACGGCGUCGCAGCUCGUGUACUGCGGAAUCGAGCCUCUUCGUCGCACCUGCCCCGCCGCUUCCAAGAAGAGAGCUAUGCCUUCUGGAAUAGUUGCGUUUCGGCGACCAAACGGCGUGGUUCGGGCCGUGGCCACCGACCCCAAGCCUAACCAAACAGAAUCUUCUGGAUCGUCUCCGAGGCGGGGGGUCGUCAAUGGGUCUUCUAGAUCUCCGCCUGUCAAUGGCGUUUCGACGAGAAUUGGAGAUGUUUCAAAAGAGAUUAAAAAAGUAAGAGCUCAGAUGGAAGAGAAUGAACAAGUGGCUAUACUUAUGAGAGGUCUUAGGGGUCAAAAUUUACGGGAUUCACAGUUUGCUGAUGAGAAUGUUCAGCUUCGGCUAGUUGAGGUAGAUGAAAGCAGUGAGUUUUUGCCCUUGGUGUAUGAUCCUGCUAGUAUAGCUGCAUACUGGGGAAGAAGGCCUCGAGCAGUUGCCACUCGUAUUGUCCAGUUACUCUCUGUUGCUGGGGGUUUUCUUUCACAUCUUGCCUGGGAUUUAAUAAAUAAGAAGGUCAAGGAGAAUGAAGUUGCUCGGGCAAUUGAAUUGAGAGAGAUUGUAACAUCUUUGGGUCCAGCAUAUAUAAAACUUGGGCAAGCAUUGAGUAUUCGACCAGAUAUACUAUCCCCUGUGGCAAUGACUGAGUUGCAAAAACUUUGUGAUAAGGUCCCUUCAUUUCCUGAUGAUGUAGCUAUGGCUCUAAUUGAAGAAGAGCUUGGCCGACCAUGGCAUAAAAUAUAUUCUGAGCUUACUUCUUCCCCAAUUGCUGCUGCAUCUCUUGGACAGGUAUAUAAGGGCCGACUAAAAGAAAAUGGGGAUUUGGUGGCUGUUAAAGUGCAGAGGCCUUUCGUUCUUGAGACUGUGACAGUUGAUUUGUUCGUCAUACGAAACUUGGGGUUAGUUCUCCGGAAGUUUCCUCAGAUCUCUGUUGAUGUGGUUGGCUUGGUUGAUGAAUGGGCAGCCCGUUUCUUUGAGGAGCUUGAUUAUGUUAAUGAGGGUGAAAAUGGGACACACUUUGCUGAAAUGAUGAGGAAGGACCUUCCACAGGUUGUUGUACCAAAAACCUAUGAGAAAUAUACUUCGAGAAAGGUUCUCACCACACAAUGGAUAGAAGGAGAAAAGCUGUCACAAAGUACAGAAAGUGAUGUCGGGGAUCUGGUAAAUGUUGGAGUCAUAUGCUACCUAAAGCAGUUGCUUGAUACUGGUUUUUUCCAUGCUGAUCCACAUCCGGGAAAUUUGAUCCGCACUCCAGAUGGGAAGCUAGCUAUACUAGACUUUGGCCUAGUGACAAAGUUAACAGAUGAUCAGAAGUAUGGAAUGAUUGAAGCAAUUGCUCACCUUAUUCAUCGGGAUUAUGGAGCAAUAGUGAAAGAUUUUGUCAAACUUGAUUUCAUUCCAGAGGGGGUUAAUUUGGAACCAAUCUUGCCAGUGCUGGCCAAAGUCUUUGAUCAGGCACUUGAAGGGGGUGGAGCAAAGAAUAUCAACUUUCAGGAAUUGGCAUCAGAUUUGGCCCAAAUAACAUUUGAUUAUCCGUUCAGGAUACCUCCGUAUUUUGCUCUUAUAAUUAGAGCAAUAGGGGUGCUGGAAGGCAUAGCUUUGGUGGGUAACCCUGAUUUUGCUAUUGUAGAUGAAGCUUAUCCCUAUUUAGCACAGAGGCUCCUGACUGAUGAGUCACCUCGUUUAAGGAAUGCAUUACGAUAUACAAUAUAUGGAAAAUCUGGAGUUUUUGAUGCUGAAAGAUUCAUUGAUGUCAUGCAAGCCUUUGAGGAUUUCAUAACAGCCGCUAAGAGUGGAGGUGGAGAAAAUAUGAAUGGGGGUAUGGCUGAACUUGGAAUCCUGCAAAGUCAAAAUAGUUCUAUUUUUCCUGGAUUUCCUUCCAGUACAUCUCAACUACAGCAGCCAGUUCAAACAAGGGCAGCCCUAGCAUUUCUACUGUCUGACAAGGGAAACUUUUUUCGAGAAUUUCUUCUGGAUGAGAUUGUAAAGGGCAUGGAUGCUAUUGCAAGGGAACAGUUGGUACAGAUAAUGGCAGUCCUAGGGAUGGGUGAUGCUGCUCCAGUAUUUAGUAUGGUUCCUGCUUUUGGACUUAUCAAGCCUGCUGCACUUCUACCCACAGUAACUGAGGAAGACAAAGUUAUACUGAAUAACGUUCAAAAAAUUGUUGAAUUUCUAACUGCAGGAAGUUCAAAAUCAAGACCAUUGAAUCAGAGUGUGGAUGAUGCUCAGAUUAUCCAAGAGUUGAUUCCAGUGUUGCCAGGCAUCUCUGCUACAAUACUACCUGAGGUGCUAAGUCGAUUAUCUUCCCGGGUUGCAGCUCGCAUCAUCCGGGAUGCAUUUUUGUAAGAUGAAAUUGUAGUCUUAUUCUCAAAGCCCCCAGCAAUUGUGCAUGUUUUGAUUAACCAUAUGUCAACGCAAGAUGAUCUGUCCAAACCAUGCCUUAUUGGUUCGCACGAUUCCCGCAAGGUGGAAAUCUUUGCCAACGUAGUUAUCCAACUCUGCAAUAAAUUGAAGAGGUGAUGGGGGGUUCUAUGACUUACUAUGUACAGAUUUGCAAAAUGGAUUCCUUGCUUUAUAGAAGGCAUUUCUCCACAAAAAACCAGGCCGCCACCAGGUCAGGUCAGGUCAGGUCAGAUACACUCAUAAGGAAUCUCAUGGCCACGACCGCGCGCACACACAGGUGAUGAGGGGCUCUAUGACUUACCAUGAGCCAAUUCAAAGUAUGGUAUUCAAAUCUCUCAUUUUUGGUCGCAAAAAACAAUUUCAGAAUCAUAUCUGACAAAAUGCCUCAAGUAAAAACUUCUUUUACCAUUAUCUUCUAGUUUAGCUACCAGGGUUAACCUUGGUGAAUUUAGCAGUAUUUCACUUUCACAAAUCAGGAAGCAUCCCAUAGGUGUCAUGAAGAAAACAACAUUAAUACAUCAUGAAAAUGCAAAAAAUAUCCCAAAGUUUUUCAACAAAAGAGAACUAGAUAGGUCUCUUUAGACUACGAGAAAGGUUUCCUUAUAGCUGGCACUAACUUUUCUUCCAAAAAGAACCUACUUCAACGCUAUUAGAUUACAUGCAUUAUACAAAGGAAGAAAUUUCAUUGAUUUUUCACAUAGUAAGGAUAAUGCUUAAUUCCAGUUGUUACAAGGUUUUCCCCCCAAUUGAAAUGUGGCUUGGCCAACACAAAACACUCAUUUGUAAACUUUUGUCCUACGGGAAAUUAAUGGAGCUUAUUGUCACAUCAGAUUAGUUCCCUCAUAGAUGGAGAUUAUUAUGCUCACAUUAGAACUAAGUUCUAGUGUGAUAACUUUCCUUGAUGUGUACAAUGAUUGACCAGCCCAAGAUCUUUACAAAGAAAGAAUACAUGUCAUCAAUUUCUCUGUUUAGAUUUUUGCGAAAAUUGAAAUGCCAUGAAAGAGAAGAGACAUUUGAAACCAACCCCACCCCUAACCCCACCCCCACACCCAUCCCCCACUAAAAAGGGAAAAAAAGGGUGUGGAAAUAGGGGCAUUUUGCCAUCUUAACAUUCAAAAUAAAUGAACAAGAGAUCAAAAGAUUGCUUCCCACCAUAGAUGAAGGUGAGAAUGGAUUCUCAAAUAAUCACCAACCAACAAAUAAAUCUAAAAGGGGUUGAAAAUAACAAAAAAUUUGUGAGAUGGCUUUCUUAGAACACCCAAAAGCCCUCAUUGGCAUAUCAACAAUUAUCUUGCAAACCACAAUUAGUUUUGAUGAGGAAGCACCAAAGAGAAUUUGCUCAUGUGAGAAUCUCCAAGCCAAUUUUCCAAUGCAAGAGGUCUUUUAGUGUUCUAGGACAAUAAGGUGUUGGAACUGAUUGAUGUGGAAGCAGGUGGGUUCUCUAUUUCCCGUUGUUUCAUUGUGAAGAUGAUUUUGCUUGGACAUUCCCAAGGGUGUAUAGGCCAAUCCAAAGGGUGAAGAGAGGAUUUUUGGGUAGAAUUAGGUCUAAAAAAGGUAUCUAGGGGGACCCUUGGUGUUUAAGAGACUUUAAUGUGGUUGAAUUUCUUGGGAAAAGGAGGAAUUGCACAAAGUUGUCUUCAACUAUGAGGCAAUUUUUUGAGGUCAAAGGGGAUUUGAACUUGACAAACCUUCCUUUCAAAUCCUCCUUUUUGAAUUGGGGGAAUGAAUACCUAGCAUUAGCAGUAUGAACCUCAAAAUCUUAGUGAUGAGUCUAGGAGCUUGGAAGUGCCUUUUUCAAAGAGGAGGUUCUUGUUGCCCUGUCUAAUUUGAUCCAAGGAUAAAACUCUACGGCCACAUGGUUUCAUUAUAGCUUUUUGGCAGACAUGUUGGAACAUUGUCAAAGACGAAGUAAUGGAUUUUUUUUCAGAAUUUUUUUUUAUCAUGGCACUUUCUAGAGGAGCUUAAACACAAACUUUCUCGAUUUUAAUCCCUAAAAAAGGUGAAGUAGAGGAUUUGAAAGAUUUUAGGCCCAUCAGCUUGGUUGGAAGAUUGUAUAAGCUUUUAAAGAAUGUCUUAGCUAAUCAUAGAUUAAAAAAAGUGGUGGGAAUGGUGGUUUCAAAUUCUCAGCUUGCUUUUGUGGAGGGUGGACAAAUUUUGGAUGUUGUGCUUGUUAGCCCAAGGGUUCUCCUAAUCAUGUUUUGAUGAUAACAAAUCAUGAUUAAGUUGCUAAUCAUUUUGAAUUCAAACGAAUUUUAGGUUUUAGUUUGGAAAUUCAAAAAGAUAUCCAAGAAAUUCAUUAAAAGACUCAAUGGAUGUAAGAUCAAGACACAUAGAAGAAUUUUUUAAUCUUAGGAAGCUAUGUAAGUUGAAUGCAAGGGUGCACUUAGCAUUUUCAUAUCUUUUCAUGCAUAUUUAAAAACUCGAUUAAGGCAUUAAAGUUAUAUUUCCAUUAAAACCCGAGUUUUAUCUAAUGAACCUUAGGCAAAUCAUUUCAAAAUUAACAUAAUCAUGGACCUAAAGACCUUACCUAAGUGUUAGAAGUAAAAAGAAUAUAAAAAGAUAAGUUUUCAGGCCAAAACUGGUGAACUGGUCAAGACACUGGUCAAUCGGCUCAAUCGGUUAGGGUACCGGUCGAUCGGUUAUGCCUUCUCGAUUAAGGGCCGGUCAAAAGAUGCAAAAAUGUUCUCUCUUCCGGUAGCCUUGCAUUCUCGGUUGAUGGUUGUCUUCCCGAUCAAGGCCUAACUAUCACCUGUCAUACAUUUAUUGCCCCAAUGACUAGUAAAUUGAUUGACCCCUUGUUCGACUGAUUGAGGCUGUUUUUUGGCUUUUUGGCUCCCGAGGCUAGAAACCUAUAAAUUGAGAGCUCCACUUCAUUUAUGAAUAUAAGAACACCUGCAUUUAUUUGUUUACCUACCCGUUCCUGACUCAAAAGCUCUCAUUCUUUCCUUGAUGCAUUAAAAUCCUCACUUGCAUAUUCUUUAGAGCACCCUUGUUAUUCAUCCUAGCAUUUAAGUUAUAUUUGAGCCCUUGUUGAGCUAGGUUGAGAGAUUUCAUAGUUUUAAAAGGCUCAAGGCUCACCAAGGUGCAAAGUAGUCCUGGAGCUUGAGGCGCUAGGCGCACCCAAGGCGCGGGCUUUAGUGAAGUGAGGCACACCCUAAUUUACAUAUAUAUUUUUAUAUAAUACAAUCAAAUUUAACAAUCAUUUAUUUGUCCUAAACACACAAAUCAUCAAAUGUCAUCCAAAACUUCAAUUUAAUCAACAAAAAACACAAAAAUAAAGAACUCCAAGCAUAAAAACAAAUCCAAAUCCAUAUUGCUAAUAACCUAAUACAUUUCCAAAUCCAAAGUUUCCAAACCAAAACAUGAAAUUUUUCCACAAUUCAAAAACAUCAUUAAAAAACACUUAAAUAACAAAUUUGCCCACAACAAGCAAUCAUCAUCAUCAUCAUUUCCAUCAUCACAUUUGUAGCCUUCCCCAUCUUCUUCAUUUGCUGAAUCAACCAUGUCUCCAUCUUCAUCUUCAUUUAUUAGUGAAUGAGAAGACAAAGUUUUAGACUUGAAGCUAUCCCCCUCGUUGGUGGUAUUAUGCUUGAGCUUGCUCUAGUUCUAGCUCUAGCUCUAGUAUCAAACCUGGCCUCCUCAGCUCCAAUAGCUCUAGCAACAUCAUCCCAUGUCAAAUUAUCAUCAUCAAAUACAAAAUCAUUUUGUGCACCUCCAUGAGAAUCCUCAUCUUCCAUUCUUCCUGUCAACCAUUCAUUGUAUCUUCUCUUCAAGGCUUGAUUAUACUUAAUGUAUACCAAAUCAUUCAAGUGUUGAUGAACUAAUCUAUUUCUCCUCUUGCUAUGAAUCUGUAAAAAUUCAUAAGCUCAUCAAUAUAUUUUAAAAUUUUAACUUUUAAGUUACAUUCAAGACUCUAUUAGACUAUUACUUGUAAUUAUUUUGGUCACUUACAUUUUCAAAGAUGCUCUAAUUCCGUUCACAACUGCAUGUUAAGUUGAGGACUUUCAUUGCAAACCUUUGCAAAUUUGGAGCUGAAGCUCCAUAUGCAGCCCACCAUUCAGCUGUAGUAUAGAUAUUAACAAUUUAGUGAAACAAUUCACCUAUUUUAGCAAAAAUACAAUCUAAUCAUUUAAAUAAACAAAGUCUUCCUUGUCCAAACAAGAUGCAUUUAUACAAAUCACUCAUAAUCUCUGCAUCAUGCUCUAUUUCUGGUUUAUGAUAGAAGAAUUCCAGGUUCAAAAAGUACCCUGUUGCAUGCAAAGGCCAAUGAAGCUGAAUCUCACACCUCUUAUCAAUGAUGUUGAAGAUUUCUUUAUACUACUCUUCAUUUCCAUUAAAACUUCUCACAAUUAUAUCCUUAGCUCUAUUCAUGGCCUCAUAUAUGUAUCCCAUAGGAGCUUUUUUUUCACCAUCAACCAAAUGAAGAACACGAACUAGGGGACCCGAAACCUUUAAGCAAAACACAAUAGUGUUCCAAAAUGAAGGCAUUAGAACUAUGUUGGCUAUAGUUUUCCCCUUUUGCCCAUUUACUAUCUGACCAAUCUAAGCUUGUAAACAUCUUCCUCAAGUAAUUUUUUUGUUCAUGCAAUUGUGAUAAUGUGAUGAAAGCAAUUGCAAAGUGAGUCUUAGCAGGCCUUAGCAAUUCCCUUUGUCCAGUAAACUGCUUCAUCAUGUUGAGUAGCCCUGAAUGAUUAUAAAUAUACUCAUUUAGUGAUAUAGCCCUCUCCAAUGUCCUCUUGAUGUUUGGUAGCUUUCCAAUAUCUUCCAACAUCAAGUCAAGGCAAUGUGCAACACAUGGUGUCCAAUACAAAUGCCAGCGCUUUAAUUCUAACAACCUCCCUAUGUGACAUUAUAGAUAAUAAAUUUACAUAAAUUCUCAAGAUAAAUAAUUGAAAUUUUAAAAAUAAAUAAAAAUUCAAGAAAUAGUAUUUAUUACCUGUCAUCACAUAACUUGAGUGAUUAUCUGUUAUAACUUGAAUAACAUUCUCCUCACCAACUUGCUUUAUCCAUUUGUCAAGUAACUCAAACAUGUUUUCUCCCUUCUUAAUCAUUGAAGAAUCAUUAAUAGAUUGCAUGAACAUGGUUCCCUUUGAACAAUUAACCAAAAAUUUCACCAAAGUUCUCUCUUUCAUGUCGGUCCAUCCAUCUGACAUAAUUGAACAUCCAUUUUUUUCCCCAUUCCACUAUAUGAUCUUUCAUCAAAUCUUUUGUGAGAGCCAAUUCUUUCUUAAGGUUAGUAACUCUUACCUCAUGAAGAGUUGGUCCCUUCAUACCCACACCAUAUUAGCCAAUAGCCUCAAUCAUUGGUUGGAAACUUGGAUAUGUGACUGCAUUAAAUGGAAUAGCAGCCUCAUACAUCCACCUUGUGAUAAGCAUACAAGCUCUUUCUCUUGCUUCCUUUUUGUAGGCAUCAUUGGUGGUAGUUUGUUUCAUCUUCCCACUCCUUCGAUUUUGAACAACCAUCUUUGCAUUAGGAGUGAAAAAAUGAUCCAUAGGACCUUUUUGUCUUGGUUUUUUUGAAGAAAACAUCCUACCACCGCUUCCUCAUCGGUUACUACCUACACUAGAAAUGUUGGUGACAUUCAUUCUACUAUUAAUCUCCUCACCAAAAUCUUCAUCUUUCAAACCAAACAAAUCUUUAUUAACAUCUUCGUUCCCCAUAUUCAUUUGCUCUUUUUGACUUUUCUUGGAACUCAUAUACUUUUCCAUUUCUUCUCUAAUAUGUUUCAGACAUUUUCUACACUUUUUAGCAUUUCUAUAUCCACCAACAAGAUGUUUGUCUCUAUAUAUGCCUCAUUUGGUUACUUUAUCACCAAAAAUGCAUAUGAUGGUGUUCAAAUCUUUUUCAUUAACCAAACGAGCAUACUUCCAUCUGGGAUCUUGAUUACUACUCAAAAAGUGCUAUUUCAUAGCUUGUAAUUAACUCUUUUAAACACUUUUGAGUAGUAGUUAUUGCCUUUUAACUCAAUUGGCAUGUUAAGGACCCUUGCAAUCAAUUUUAAUCAAUUUGUGUUAAAGUUUUGGUGUUUUGAUAGCUUUUUGAUCACCAAAGCAAUAUGAGAUUGAGGAGAGUUAUUUGGAAUCCAUGGCAAAGCAAUGGAAAACUCAGAAAUAUGAAGAACCAAAGCUUUGAAGUCCUUUGCCAUAAGCAAAUCCGGAAUGCAAGGAGGGGAAGCAAAGAGAAAUCUGCCAUGAAGCAUUCUUUAUGACAGUCAUGUCAGCCACUUUUGGAGCACUUUCUGGAGUCCAAUUUAUGUAUCCUAUAUGUCGUUUCGAAGCUCAGGAAGUCAACAAUUCAAUGCUUCAAACGGUGCACAAUUCGGAGUUGAAAUGAAGGAGUUACAACCAUUGGAAGCCGAUCACUCCAAACUGAAGGAAGAAUUUUGCACGGCUGCGAAAUCACCCUUUUGCUGCGAAGUGAUUUCGCAGCCAUUUUGCACAGUGCAAUGAAAUUUCUCUUGAAGUUUUCCGAUAUUUGCGACCGACACUUUUGGAUAUUUUGCUUCAGAUUUUUGAUGUCUAAAUCCCCAUUUUCUCCUUGUAACCCACCAAUUAUAGGAUUCCUUAGUUAUUAAGUUUGGGAAAGGGGUGAAUAACCUCAGAUAUUUUGUUUUGUAAUUUUCUUUAUAUAUAGCUCUCGGGAGCUUGUUCUCAGAGCAUCAUGUAAUCCAGGAGGACGGAGAGGACGACGGAUCCUUUUGUAAAAGUUUGAAAGAAAGUAAAAUACAGAGCCUUUGCUCUGCCUUACCUUCU